AGAGUUUGAUCCUGGCUCAGAACGAACGCUGGCGGCAGGCCUCAAACAUGCAAGUCUAGGGGGUGUAGCAAUACAUCACCGGCGGACGGGUGCGUAACACGUGGGAAUAUACCUUUUGGUUCGGAACAACUGAGGGAAACUUCAGCUAAUACCGAAUGUGUCCUUACGGAGAAAGAUUUAUCGCCAAAGGAUUAGCCCGCGUCCGAUUAGCUAGUUGGUGAGGUAAUGGCUCACCAAGGCUCCGAUCGGUAGCUGUUCUGAGAGGAAGAUCAGCCACACUGGGACUGAGACACGGCCCAGACUCCUACGGGAGGCAGCAGUUGGGAAUCUUGGACAAUGGGGGAAACCCUGAUCCAGCCAUGCCGCGUGAGUGAUGAAGGCCUUCGGGUUGUAAAACUCUUUCGACGGGGACGAUAAUGACGGUACCCGUAGAAGAAGCUCCGGCUAACUUCGUGCCAGCAGCCGCGGUAAUACGAAGGGGGCUAGCGUUGUUCGGAAUUACUGGGCGUAAAGCGCGCGCAGGCGGUUUUCCAAGUCAGUGGUGAAAGCCCGGAGCUCAACUCCGGAACUGCCAUUGAAACUGUUAAACUUGAGGACGAGAGAGGUGAGUGGAAUUCCCAGUGUAGAGGUGAAAUUCGUAGAUAUUGGAAAGAACACCGGUGGCGAAGGCGGCUCACUGGCUCGUUUCUGACGCUCAGGCGCGACAGCGUGGGGAUCAAACAGGAUUAGAUACCCUAGUAGUCC
rnacentral:rRNA from 1 species